rnacentral:rRNA from 1 species
AUUGAGCGCUGGCGGCACGCCUAACACAUGCAGGUCGAGCGGCAGCGCGAUAUGUAGCAAUACAUAUUGGCGGCGAGCGGCGGACGGGUGAGGAACACGUAGGAACCUACCCUCGAGUGGGGGAUAACCAAGGGAAACUUUGGCUAAUACCGCAUGAACUCGAGAGAGCAAAGCUGCCGCAAGGUGGCGCUCGAGGAGGGGCCGGCGGCCGAUUAGCUAGUUGGUGAGGUAAGAGGUCACCAAGGGGAUGAUCGGUAACUGGUCUGAGAGGACGACCAGUCACACUGGGACUGAGACACGGCCCAGACUCCUACGGGAGGCAGCAGUGGGGAAUAUUGGACAAUGGGGGCAACCCUGAUCCAGCGAUGCCGCGUGAGUGAAGAAGGCCUUCGGGUCGUAAAGCUCUUUAGGUUGGGAAGAAGGGUGACGGAGGAAAUGCUAUCACUUUGACGGUACCGACAGAAUAAGCACCGGCAAACUCUGUGCCAGCCGCCGCCGUAAGAC